rnacentral:rRNA from 1 species
GACGAACGCUGGCGGCGUGCUUAACACAUGCAAGUCGAACGGAAAGGCCCUGCUUUUGUGGGGUGCUCGAGUGGCGAACGGGUGAGUAACACGUGAGUAACCUGCCCUUGACUUUGGGAUAACUUCAGGAAACUGGGGCUAAUACCGGAUAGGAGCUCCUGCUGCAUGGUGGGGGUUGGAAAGUUUCGGCGGUUGGGGAUGGACUCGCGGCUUAUCAGCUUGUUGGUGGGGUAGUUGCUUACCAAGGCUUUGACGGGUAGCCGGCCUGAGAGGGUGACCGGUCACAUUGGGCCUGAGGUACGGGCCAGGCGCCUACGGGCGGCAACAGGGGGGAAUAUUGCCCAAUGGGGGGGAGCCUGAUGCAGCAACGCCGGGUGCGGGAUGACGGCCUUCGGGUUGUAAACCGCUUUCGCCUGUGACGAAGCGUGCGUGACGGUAAUGGGUAAAGAAGCAACGGCUAACUACGUG